rnacentral:lncRNA from 1 species
AAAUGAAGAGUUUAGAAGCUUCUACUAUUAAAACAUUUUCUAUGUAAAUCAUUUUUUUCUUGUGUGCUUUUCACUAUGUGCAUAAUAUGCGAACUUUAUACGGUUGAUACUUAUUGAAGUGUUUCUUUUUCAGAGAGGAAUGGGCCGCGGAAAGAAGCCUCAAUAAACUGUUACCGGUUGAACCAGCGUUUUAUUACUCCAGGCUGUGGCAAAAAUUGUCCUUAACAUUAUGAAAAAUAAUUGCUUGUAUCAAGUCAAGGUCUCAGAUUGCCUAGGAUAACUACCUGUUAAAACUCAACUUACUGCCCUUUUCCCCGAAUUGAAGACUUGAUGUUUUGUAUUAAGAAAUCCUCUUAAAGCUUAUAAACAUUGGGUAAUUUAUCAAUUGCUGAAACUAAAGCGUUAUCCAUCUGCAAAAAGAGUAUUUAUUUAACAUAGACAGAAGCAUUGUCAUGGUGAGUAUUUUUCCCAAUUCUCAUGAAAAUUAUUUCAUCUUCUGCUAGUGAUAUUAUUAGGGAUAAUUGUCCCUAAAUUCUCCGACGAGCUGCCUGUGAAGAACAUGGCCCUAGGUGAGUUGAACUAAUUUUAUUGAAUUUGUAUUCGCAUGUUAGGUUUCGGUUGUCAGUAAUGGCGCCCGACCAGAAGGCAUGCAAAAUCCAUAUACCACUUUACUUGCUGGGCUUUUCUGAAAAAUCCUUCGUGUCGUGGUGACAUGAUGAAUUACCUAAACUAAUUAUUCAGCUUUGCCGUUACUAUUCAUGAAAUUGAACUUAAUUUCAAAUAAACGUCUCUUUUUCUUGGUUUGGAAAGUACUACCCACACACUCCCAAUAUAUAGAAGCUUGAAGCAUGCAGGAAUUCCACUCUCCCGCAACGGGUGAGAGGCCAGAGACAUGCUAGAGUAAAGUGCUCGGUUCCUUCGUAGGGCUGUUUUUGGUCAGUCUUCAGUGUUCUGCGACGACAUUCUUGCCCACUUGAUGUCGAGACAAUAUUCCGAGCUGUGCUAAAAAUUGGUUAUGGAUGACAUGCUAAUUUGUCCGCAACCAAUAGAUUAUCGUGUGGGUUGCAUGCCUGCUAAGUGAUUUUUUUCUGAAAUAAGCUCCUAAUGUCUUGGUGGUUCUAUUGCUAAAUAUAUAUUUAUUUCAUUUCAGAUUUUGAGUUUUUGAGAUAAUUGACGACGAUUAAUUGCUACCGUACAUGAUGAACUGACGUCACUUUUAUAAAAGUGGCCGUGUAGUCUAAUAAGCUAUGCCUGCUGUAGUGGAACCCGCUCUCGCCUGCGUAAGAGUCGCCUUUCUCUCCUGGAAAAAAAGCACUGG